rnacentral:lncRNA from 1 species
ACCGUUUCGAACCGAACCGUGCCGUAUCGAACCGAACCGUUUCAAGCUGUACCGUUUCGACGCGAACCGUGCCGUAUCGAACCGUGCCGUAUCGAACCGAAACGGUUCGGCUUCGAAACGGUUCGAGUCGAAACGGUACGGUUCGAUACGGUUCAGCUCGAAACGGUUCGGUUCGAUACGGCACGGUUCGGUUCGAAACGGUACGGCUUGAAACGGUUCGGCUUCGAAACGGUACGGGUCAAAACGGUUCGGUUCGAAACGGUUUAGCUCGAAACGGUUCGGCUUCGAAACGGUACGGGUCGAAACGGUUCGGCUCG